rnacentral:tRNA from 1 species
GGGGAUUUAGCUCAGUGGCAUAAGCACCUGCCUGGCAAGCACUAGGCUGUGAGUUCAAUCCCCA